rnacentral:rRNA from 1 species
GACGAACGCUGGCGGCGUGCCUAAUACAUGCAAGUCGAACGCUGAAGGAGGAGCUUGCUUCUCUGGAUGAGUUGCGAACGGGUGAGUAACGCGUAGGUAACCUGCCUGGUAGCGGGGGAUAACUAUUGGAAACGAUAGCUAAUACCGCAUAAUAGCAGUUGUUGCAUGACAACUGUUUGAAAGGUGCAAUUGCACCACUACCAGAUGGACCUGCGUUGUAUUAGCUAGUUGGUGGGGUAACGGCUCACCAAGGCGACGAUACAUAGCCGACCUGAGAGGGUGAUCGGCCACACUGGGACUGAGACACGGCCCAGACUCCUACGGGAGGCAGCAGUAGGGAAUCUUCGGCAAUGGACGGAAGUCUGACCGAGCAACGCCGCGGGAGUGAAGAAGGUUGUCGGAUCGGAAAGCUCGGUUGUAAGAGAAGAACGAGUGUGAGAGUGGAAAGUUCACACUGUGACGGUAUCUUACCAGAAAGGGACGGCUAACUACGUG